AUUGAACGCUGGCGGCAUGCCUUACACAUGCAAGUCGAAUGGCAGCACGGGAGCAAUCCUGGUGGCGAGUGGCGAACGGGUGAGUAAAGUAUCGGAACGUGCCCGGUCGUGGGGGAUAACGUAGCGAAAGUUACGCUAAUACCGCAUACGAUCUAUGGAUGAAAGCGGGGGAUCGCAAGACCUCGCGCGAUUGGAGCGGCCGAUAUCAGAUUAGGUAGUUGGUGGGGUAAAGGCUCACCAAGCCGACGAUCUGUAGCUGGUCUGAGAGGACGACCAGCCACACUGGGACUGAGACACGGCCCAGACUCCUACGGGAGGCAGCAGUGGGGAAUUUUGGACAAUGGGCGAAAGCCUGAUCCAGCCAUGCCGCGUGCAGGAUGAAGGCCUUCGGGUUGUAAACUGCUUUUGUACGGAACGAAAAGGUUUGGGCUAAUAAGCUGAACUCAUGACGGUACCGUAAGAAUAAGCACCGGCUAACUACGUGCCAGCCGCCGCCGUAA
rnacentral:rRNA from 1 species